CGGAGGAUCCAAGCGUUAUCCGGAAUCAUUGGGUUUAAAGGGUCCGUAGGCGGUUUUGUAAGUCAGUGGUGAAAGCCCAUCGCUCAACGGUGGAACGGCCAUUGAUACUGCAAGACUUGAAUUAUUGGGAAGUAACUAGAAUAUGUAGUGUAGCGGUGAAAUGCUUAGAGAUUACAUGGAAUACCAAUUGCGAAGGCAGGUUACUACCAAUAUAUUGACGCUGAUGGACGAAAGCGUGGGGAGCGAACAGGAUUAGAUACCCUGGUAGUCCACGCCGUAAACGAUGGAGUACUAGCUGUUCGGAGCAAUCUGAGUGGCUAAGCGAAAGUGAUAAGUAUCCCACCUGGGGAGUACGUUCGCAAGAAUG
rnacentral:rRNA from 1 species